CGGGUUUCUUCGACUGGUGUUGUUUUAAAAGGCCUACAGGUGGCGGAGUACGGGUGGCGGGAAGAGGUCGCGGCAGUAUUUUAAUGUAUGCAUUAUUACCUCGGCGUAUUUUCAAGAACACCAUCGACUUGGUUCCCGCAUACAGGACAAAAUGAUGGCGGUCUCGUCAACUCUACGGGUUUUGAAUAUCGCCGUGACGCAGUGGGUGGACGUGCUGUGUGUCCUUCUCAAUUAAGGUUCAACCCUCAACCUCAGGUAAACGAGGACAGGUGAGCGGGACACCUUACCUGGCCAAGGCGGAAGGGAAAUGAAUGCUUG